UACGAAGGGAGCUAGAGUUGUUCGGAAUUACUGGGCGUAAAGGGCGCGUAGGCGGUUUGUUAUGUCAGAUGUGAAAGCCCCGGGCUUAACCUGGGAACUGCAUUUGAAACUGGCAGACUAGAGAUCGAGAGAGGAAAGUGGAAUUACAAGUGUAGAGGUGAAAUUCGUAGAUAUUUGUAAGAACACCAGUGGCGAAGGCGACUUUCUGGCUCGAUACUGACUCUAAGGCGAGAAAGCGUGGGGAGCAAACAGG
rnacentral:rRNA from 1 species